CCUACGGGAGGCAGCAGUGAGGAAUAUUGGUCAAUGGACGAGAGUCUGAACCAGCCAAGUAGCGUGAAGGAUGACUGCCCUAUGGGUUGUAAACUUCUUUUAUAUGGGAAUAAAAUGUUCCACGUGUGGGAUUUUGUAUGUACCAUAUGACUAAGGAUCGGCUAACUCCGUGCCAGCAGCCGCGGUAAUACGGAGGAUCCGAGCGUUAUCCGGAUUUAUUGGGUUUAAAGGGAGCGUAGGUGGAUUGUUAAGUCAGUUGUGAAAGGUUGCGGCUCAACCGUAAAAUUGCAGUUGAAACUGGCAGUCUUGAGUACAGUAGAGGUGGGCGGAAUUCGUGGUGUAGCGGUGAAAUGCUGAGAUAUCACGAAGAACUCCGAUUGCGAAGGCAGCUCACUGGACUGCAACUGACACUGAGGCUCGAAAGUGUGGGUAUCAAACAGGAUUAGAUACCCCUGUAGUC
rnacentral:rRNA from 1 species